GACGAACGCUGGCGGCGUGCCUAAUACAUGCAAGUUGAGCGAUGAAGAUUGGUGCUUGCACCAAUUUGAAGAGCAGCGAACGGGUGAGUAACGCGUGGGGAAUCUGCCUUUGAGCGGGGGACAACAUUUGGAAACGAAUGCUAAUACCGCAUAACAACUUUAAACAUAAGUUUUAAGUUUGAAAGAUGCAAUUGCAUCACUCAAAGAUGAUCCCGCGUUGUAUUAGCUAGUUGGUGAGGUAAAGGCUCACCAAGGCGAUGAUACAUAGCCGACCUGAGAGGGUGAUCGGCCACAUUGGGACUGAGACACGGCCCAAACUCCUACGGGAGGCAGCAGUAGGGAAUCUUCGGCAAUGGACGAAAGUCUGACCGAGCAACGCCGCGUGAGUGAAGAAGGUUUUCGGAUCGUAAAACUCUGUUGGUAGAGAGGAACGUUGGUGAGAGUGGAAAGCUCAUCAAGUGACGGUAACUACCCAGAAAGGGACGGCUAACUACGUG
rnacentral:rRNA from 1 species